AUCGAACGCUGGCGGCAGGCCUAACACAUGCAAGUCGAGCGAGCGGCGGACGGGUGAGUAACGCAUGGGGACUGCCCGAUCGAGGGGGAUAACCACUGGAAACGGUCGCUAAUUCCGCAUUCUAUCGGUUAACCCAUAUGGGAUUAGCUAGUAGGUGGGGUAAAGGCUCACCUAGGCGACGACCACCCGCUGGUCGGAGAGUAGGAACGGAAACACGGGGACUGAGACACGGCCCAGACACCUACGGAGGCAGCAGUGGGGAAUAUGGCAAAAGGGGCGAAAGCCUGAUGAGGCAAUGCCGCGUGUAGGAAGAAGGCCUUAGGGUUGUAAAGUACUUUCAGCGGGGAGGCGUUACCCGCAGAAGAAGCACCGGCUAACUCCGUGCCAGCAGCCGCGGUAAUAC
rnacentral:rRNA from 1 species